rnacentral:rRNA from 1 species
CAAAUGAAUUGACGGGGAGCACCACAACGGGUGGAGCUUGCGGUUAAUUGGAUUCAACGCCGGAAAUCUUACCGGGACGACAGCAAUAUGAAGGCCAGGCUGAAGACUUUGCCGGAUUAGCUGAGAGGUGGUGCAUGGCCGUCGUCAGUUCGUACUGUGAAGCAUCCUGUUAAGUCAGGCAACGAGCGAGACCCACGCCCACAGUUGCCAGCGUACUCUCUGGAGUGACGGGUACACUGUGGGGACCGCCGCUGCUAAAGCGGAGGAAGGAAUGGGCAACGGUAGGUCAGUAUGCCCCGAAUUAUCCGGGCUACACGCGGGCUACAAUGGUCAGGACAAUGGGUAUCGACACCGAGAGGUGGAGGCAAUCUCCUAAACCUGUCCUUAGUUCGGAUUGUGGGCUGCAACUCGCCCACAUGAAGCUGGAAUCCGUAGUAAUCGCGUUUCAAAAUAGCGCGGUGAAUAUGUCCCUGCUCCUU